CUUGAUGGACCCGAGCCACAGCGGCCGGCCCUCCGGCCGCUCCUGCCCAUAGGUCUCCAGGAGCGCCUGCGCCUC
rnacentral:antisense_RNA from 1 species